rnacentral:rRNA from 1 species
GCCAGCAGCCGCGGUAAUACGAAGGGACCUAGCGUAGUUCGGAAUUACUGGGCUUAAAGAGUUCGUAGGUGGUUGAAAAAGUUAGUGGUGAAAUCCCAGAGCUUAACUCUGGAACUGCCAUUAAAACUUUUCAGCUAGAGUAUGAUAGAGGAAAGCAGAAUUUCUAGUGUAGAGGUGAAAUUCGUAGAUAUUAGAAAGAAUACCAAUUGCGAAGGCAGCUUUCUGGAUCAUUACUGACACUGAGGAACGAAAGCAUGGGUAGCGAAGAGGAUUAGAUACCCUCGUAGUCCAUGCCGUAAACGAUGUGUGUUAGACGUUGGAAAUUUAUUUUCAGUGUCGCAGGGAAACCGAUAAACACACCGCCUGGGGAGUACGACCGCAAGGUUAAAACUCAAAUGAAUUGACGGGGACCCGCACAAGUAGUGGAGCAUGUGGUUUAAUUCGAAGAUACGCGCAGAACCUUACCAACACUUGACAUGUUCGUCGCGACUCUAAGAGAUUAGAGUUUUCGGUUCGGCCGGACGAAACACAGGUGCUGCAUGGCUGUCGUCAGCUCGUGUCGUGAGAUGUUGGGUUAAGUCCCGCAACGAGCGCAACCCUCACUUUUAGUUGCCAUCAUUAAGUUGGGCACUCUGAAAGAACUGCCAGUG